rnacentral:rRNA from 1 species
AACGAACGCUGGCGGCAUGCCUAACACAUGCAAGUCGAAUGAGAUCUUCGGAUCUAGUGGCGCACGGGUGCGUAACGCGUGGGAAUCUGCCCUUGGGUUCGGAAUAACUCAGAGAAAUUUGAGCUAAUACCGGAUGAUGACGUAAGUCCAAAGAUUUAUCGCCCAAGGAUGAGCCCGCGUAGGAUUAGCUAGUUGGUGAGGUAAAGGCUCACCAAGGCGACGAUCCUUAGCUGGUCUGAGAGGAUGAUCAGCCACACUGGGACUGAGACACGGCCCAGACUCCUACGGGAGGCAGCAGUGGGGAAUAUUGGACAAUGGGCGAAAGCCUGAUCCAGCAAUGCCGCGUGAGUGAUGAAGGCCUUAGGGUUGUAAAGCUCUUUUACCCGGGAUGAUAAUGACAGUACCGGGAGAAUAAGCUCCGGCUAACUCCGUGCCAGCAGCCGCAGUAA